AUUGAACGCUGGCGGCAGGCCUAACACAUGCAAGUCGAACGGUAACAGGAAGAAGCUUGCUUCUUUGCUGACGAGUGGCGGACGGGUGAGUCAUGUCUGGGAAACUGCCUGAUGGAGGGGGAUAACUACUGGAAACGGUAGCUAAUACCGCAUAACGUCGCAAGACCAAAGAGGGGGACCUUCGUGCCUCUUGCCAUCGGAUGUGCCCAGAUGGGAUUAGCUAGUAGGUGGGGUAACGGCUCACCUAGGCGACGAUCCCUAGCUGGUCUGAGAGGAUGACCAGCCACCCUGGAACUGGAACACGGUCCAGACUCCUACGGGAGGCAGCAGUGGGGAAUAUUGCACAAUGGGCGCAAGCCUGAUGCAGCCAUGCCGCGUGUAUGAAGAAGGCCUUCGGGUUGUAAAGUACUUUCAGCGGGGAGGAAGGGAGUAAAGUUAAUACCUUUGCUCAUUGACGUUACCCGCAGAAGAAGCACCGGCUAACUCCGUG
rnacentral:rRNA from 1 species